rnacentral:rRNA from 1 species
GACGAACGCUGGCGGCGUGCUUAACACAUAAAAGUCGAACGGAAAGGCCCUGCUUUUGUGGGGUGCUCGAGUGGCGAACGGGUGAGUAACACGUGAGUAACCUGCCCUUGACUUUGGGAUAACUUCAGGAAACUGGGGCUAAUACCGGAUAGGAGCUCCUGCUGCAUGGUGGGGGUUGGAAAGUUUCGGCGGUUGGGGAUGGACUCGCGGCUUAUCAGCUUGUUGGUGGGGUAGUGGCUUACCAAGGCUUUGACGGGUAGCCGGCCUGAGAGGGUGACCGGCCACAUUGGGACUGAGAUACGGCCCAGACUCCUACGGGAGGCAGCAGUGGGGAAUAUUGCACAAUGGGCGGAAGCCUGAUGCAGCAACGCCGCGUGCGGGAUGACGGCCUUCGGGUUGUAAACCGCUUUCGCCUGUGACGAAGCGUGAGUGACGGUAAUGGGUAAAGAAGCACCGGCUAACUACGUG